rnacentral:rRNA from 1 species
AUUGAACGCUGGCGGAAUGCUUUACACAUGCAAGUCGAACGGCAGCACGGGGGCAACCCUGGUGGCGAGUGGCGAACGGGUGAGUAAUACAUCGGAACGUGCCCAGUCGUGGGGGAUAACGUAGCGAAAGUUACGCUAAUACCGCAUACGAUCUACGGAUGAAAGCGGGGGAUCGCAAGACCUCGCGCGAUUGGAGCGGCCGAUGUCAGAUUAGGUAGUUGGUGGGGUAAAGGCUCACCAAGCCGACGAUCUGUAGCUGGUCUGAGAGGACGACCAGCCACACUGGGACUGAGACACGGCCCAGACUCCUACGGGAGGCAGCAGUGGGGAAUUUUGGACAAUGGGCGCAAGCCUGAUCCAGCCAUUCCGCGUGCAGGAUGAAGGCCCUCGGGUUGUAAACUGCUUUUGUACGGAACGAAACGGCGCUCUCUAAUACAGGGCGCUAAUGACGGUACCGUAAGAAUAAAGCACCGGCUAACUACGUGCCAGCAGCCGCGGUAA